CCUACGGGAGGCAGCAGUGGGGAAUAUUGGGCAAUGGGCGCAAGCCUGACCCAGCAACGCCGAGUGAAGGAAGAAGGCUUUCGGGUUGUAAACUUCUUUUAAGAGGGAAGAGCAGAAGACGGUACCUCUUGAAUAAGCCACGGCUAACUACGUGCCAGCAGACGCGGUAAUACGUAGGUGGCAAGCGUUGUCCGGAUUUACUGGGUGGAAAGGGCGUGCAGCCGCGAAGACAAGUCAGAUGUGAAAUCCCGCGGCUCAACCGCGGAACUGCAUUUGAAACUGUUUUUCUUGAGUACCGGAGAGGUCAUCGGAAUUCCUUGUGUAGCGGUGAAAUGCGUAGAUAUAAGGAAGAACACCAGUGGCGAAGGCGGAUGACUGGACGGCAACUGACGGUGAGGCGCGAAAGCGUGGGGAGCAAACAGGAUUAGAUACCCCGGUAGUC
rnacentral:rRNA from 1 species